rnacentral:rRNA from 1 species
CUUGUCUCAAGACUAAGCCAUGCAUGUCUAAGUAUAAACGCUUCUAUACUGUGAAACUGCGAAUGGCUCAUUAAAUCAGUUAUAGUUUAUUUGAUGGUUUCUUACUACUUGGAUAACCGUGGUAAUUCUAGAGCUAAUACAUGCACAAAGUCCCGACUCUUCGGAAGGGAUGUAUUUAUUAGAUCCAAAACCAAUGCGAGUCUCUCGGGGCUCGGUUUCUUGGUGAUUCAUGAUAACUGCUCGAACCGUAUGGCCCUUGCGCCGACGGUGCUUCAUUCAAAUUUCUGCCCUAUCAACUUUCGAUGGUACGGUAGUGGCCUACCAUGGUUGCAACGGGUGACGGAGAAUUAGGGUUCGAUUCCGGAGAGGGAGCCUGAGAAACGGCUACCACAUCCAAGGAAGGCAGCAGGCGCGCAAAUUACCCAAUCCCGACUCGGGGAGGUAGUGACAAUAAAUAACAAUGCCGGGCUAUUGUAGUCUGGCAAUUGGAAUGAGUACAAUCUAAAUCCCUUAACGAGGAACAAUUGGAGGGCAAGUCUGGUGCCAGCAGCCGCGGUAAUUCCAGCUCCAAUAGCGUAUAUUAAAGUUGUUGCAGUUAAAAAGCUCGUAGUUGGAUUUCGGGGUGGCCUGCCUGGUCCACCGCAAGGUGAGUACUGGUCAGCCGCCCUUCCUCUCGAAAGCCCCGACUGCUCUUCACUGCAGUGGUCGGGUAGUUCGGGACGUUUACUUUGAAAAAAUUAGAGUGUUCAAGGCAGGCUAUCGCCUGAAUACAUUAGCAUGGAAUAAUGGAAGAGGACCUCGGUCCUAUUUUGUUGGUUUCUAGGGCCGAAGUAAUGAUUAAGAGGGACAGUUGGGGGCAUUCGUAUUUAAUUGUCAGAGGUGAAAUUCUUGGAUUUAUGAAAGACGAACUAGUGCGAAAGCAUUUGCCAAGGAUGUUUUCAUUAAUCAAGAACGAAAGUUAGGG